rnacentral:rRNA from 1 species
GAUGAACGCUGGCGGCGUGCCUAAUACAUGCAAGUCGAGCGAACAGACGAGGAGCUUGCUCCUCUGACGUUAGCGGCGGACGGGUGAGUAACACGUGGAUAACCUACUUAUAAGACUGGGAUAAUUUCGGGAAACCGGAGCUAAUACCGCAUAAUAUAUUGAACCGCAUGGUUCAAUAGUGAAAGACGGCUUUGCUGUCACUUAUAGAUGAAUCCGCGCCGCAUUAGCUAGUUGGUAAGGUAACGGCUUACCAAGGCAACGAUGCGUAGCCGACCUGAGAGGGUGAUCGGCCACACUGGAACUGAGACACGGUCCAGACUCCUACGGGAGGCAGCAGUAGGGAAUCUUCCGCAAUGGGCGAAAGCCUGACGGAGCAACGCCGCGUGAGUGAAGAAGGUCUUCGGGUCGUAAAGCUCUGUUAUUAGGGAAGAACAGAUGUGUAAGUAACUAUGGACGUCUUGACGGUACCUAAUCAGAAAGCCACGGCUAACUACGUG